AGGUGCAUCCAAGGAGAGGUGAAUACUAGAGAGAAUAGAAUAAUGGUGGGCUAUAAAGUGAUGAAACCAAAAGAGAAAGAGAAGAUGAGAAGAGGAGAGGAGAUCGGGGAGGUAAAGAGGAAAAAAAUAUUGAGUGUGGGUAUAAUGUGCAAUAGAAUGGUGGUAUCCUGCAAGAUAACAUAGAUAUAGGGAGAGUAGAGAGUGAGGAAGAGAGAGAGAGAGAAGAGGCAACAAGAGAGUCAAGGGAGGAAGCA
rnacentral:lncRNA from 1 species